UACGUAGGGGGCAAGCGUUGUCCGGAUUUAUUGGGCGUAAAGAGCGUGUAGGCGGCCAGACAGGUCCGUUGUGAAAACUCGAGGCUCAACCUCGAGAUGUCGAUGGAAACCGUCUGGCUAGAGUCCGGAAGAGGAGUGUGGAAUUCCUGGUGUAGCGGUGAAAUUCGUAGAUAUUAGGAAGAACACCAGUGGCGAAGGCGGCUCACUGGUCCGGUACUGACGCUGAGGUGCGAAAGCGUGGGGAGCAAACAGG
rnacentral:rRNA from 1 species